rnacentral:rRNA from 1 species
GCUCAGGGUGUCGAGGUUGUCGUGCUCCGCUGAUGUUCAGCUGGCGGCGGUCGGGGUUACUGUGCCRGUGUCGGUGCAUUCUUCAUGGAGUUGGACCGUCAGUUGGGAAGAGGUUGGGUCCUGUUCUGUCGGCAGUCGGGAGGUAAGCCUUGCGGUUCCUCCGUGUUCCCAGGGUGASRUAUAGCCGCUCUGCUGUGGUCCCGGCCGUCUUUCAUGUGCGUCGGACGUCCGUUCGUCCGGAAUGGGAAGGUGCAAUCUCCCCUCGGGGGGGAGUUCGGGCGGGUGGUGGACUGGCUUCGAUGGGASGAGUCGAGCUCCGUCCCUUCUCCGUCCCGUSUUYGGCGCGCGGGAAGGAGUACGGCACGGCCGCCACGUGUCGUUGCCUCUCCCUGUCCUGUUCCAACUGCUGUGCCGAGAUGACUGGCGAAUAGUGGGGGGGGGGUGC